UAAACCUCAAAGAUGAGGGUGGGAACAACAGAGAAGAACCUAUUAUUGGGCCACCUAUCAAGCAAAAAGAAAAUACAGCAAUACAAGGUCUCCAGAUUUGCCACCCAUGCUGAGUGCCGUGGUGUGAUCAUGGCUUAUUUCAACCUCAACCUCCCCCACUCAAGCGAUCCUCCUGCCUCAGCCUCUGGAGUAGCUGGGACUACAGGCACGCACCACCACACCCAGCCAUAAUUUGCCUCUUGCUGUAACUAAAAGGUCACAAAAACAAAGAAUUCUAAAAAAUCUUCUUCU
rnacentral:lncRNA from 1 species